rnacentral:rRNA from 1 species
UACGUAGGGGGCAAGCGUUGUCCGGAUUUAUUGGGCGUAAAGAGCGUGUAGGCGGUUUGGUAGGUCCGCUGUGAAAACUCGAGGCUCAACCUCGAGACGCCGGUGGAAACCAUCAGACUAGAGUCCGGAAGAGGAGAGUGGAAUUCCUGGUGUAGCGGUGAAAUGCGCAGAUAUCAGGAGGAACACCGAUGGCGAAGGCAGGUCUCUGGGCCACUACUGACGCUGAGAAGCGAAAGCGUGGGGAGCGAACAGG